rnacentral:rRNA from 1 species
CCUACGGGGGGCUGCAGUGAGGAAUAUUGGUCAAUGGGCGCGAGCCUGAACCAGCCAAGUAGCGUGAAGGAUGACUGCCCUACGGGUUGUAAACUUCUUUUAUAAAGGAAUAAAGUGAGGCACGUGUGCCUUUUUGUAUGUACUUUAUGAAUAAGGAUCGGCUCACUCCGUGCCAGCAGCCGCGGUAAUACGGAGGAUCCGAGCGUUAUCCGGAUUUAUUGGGGUUAAAGGGAGCGUAGAUGGGUUGUUAAGUCAGUUGUGAAAGUUUGCGGCUCAACCGUAAAAUUGCAAUUGAUACUGGAAGCCUUGAGUACAGUUGAGGUAGGCGGAAUUCGUGGUGUAGCGGUGAAAUGCUUAGAUAGCACGAAGAACUCCGAUUGCGAAGGCAGGUUACUAAACUGCAACUGACAUUGAUGCUCGAAAGUGUGGGUAUCAAACAGGAUUAGAUACCCGUGUAGUC